GACGAACGCUGGCGGCGUGCCUAAUACAUGCAAGUUGAGCGCUGAAGGUUGGUACUUGUACCAACUGGAUGAGCAGCGAACGGGUGAGUAACGCGUGGGGAAUCUGCCUUUGAGCGGGGGACAACAUUUGGAAACGAAUGCUAAUACCGCAUAAAAACUUUAAACACAAGUUUUAAGUUUGAAAGAUGCAAUUGCAUCACUCAAAGAUGAUCCCGCGUUGUAUUAGCUAGUUGGUGAGGUAAAGGCUCACCAAGGCGAGGAUACAUAGCCGACCUGAGGGGGUGAUCGGCCACAUUGGGACUGAGACACGGCCCAAACUCCUACGGGAGGCAGCAGUAGGGAAUCUUCGGCAAUGGACGAAAGUCUGACCGAGCAACGCCGCGUGAGUGAAGAAGGUUUUCGGAUCGUAAAACUCUGUUGGUAGAGAAGAACGUUGGUGAGAGUGGAAAGCUCAUCAAGUGACGGUAACUACCCAGAAAGGGACGGCUAACUACGUG
rnacentral:rRNA from 1 species